UACAGAGGGUGCAAGCGUUGUUCGGAAUUAUUGGGCGUAAAGGGCGCGCAGGCGGCUGGUCAAGUCCGAUGUGAAAUCUCCCGGCUCAACUGGGAAACUGCAUCGGAAACUGAUCGGCUUGAAGGUGGGAGAGGGUAGUGGAAUUCCCGGUGUAGUGGUGAAAUGCGUAGAUAUCGGGAGGAACACCAGUGGCGAAGGCGACUACCUGGCCCAUUCUUGACGCUGAGGCGCGAAAGCUAGGGGAGCGAACGGG
rnacentral:rRNA from 1 species